GUCUUUUUGAAUUAAAUUUAAAGUCUAACCUGCCCACUGAAAAUUUUUAAAUGGCCGCAGUAUUCUAACUGUGCAAAGGUAGCAUAAUCAUUAGUCUUUUAAUUGAAGGCUGGAAUGAAUGGUUGGACGAAAUAUUAACUGUUUCAUUUAAAUUUUUUAUAAAAUUUUAUUUUUUAGUCAAAAAGCUAAAAUAAAUUUAAAAGACGAGAAGACCCUAUAAAUCUUUAUAUUUUGUUUAUUUUAAUUAUAAAGAUUAUUUUUAUUAUAAUAAAUUAAAAUAUUUUAUUGGGGUGAUAUUAAAAUUUAAAAAACUUUUAAUUUUUAAAACCAUUAAUUUAUGAAUAAUUGAUCCAUUAAUAAUGAUUAAAAAUUUAAGUUACUUUAGGGAUAACAGCGUAAUUUUUUUGGAGAGUUCAUAUCGAUAAAAAAGAUUGCGACCUCGAUGUUGGAUUAAGAUAUAAUUUUGGGUGUAGCCGUUCAAAUUUUAAGUCUGUUCGACUUUUAAAUUCUU
rnacentral:rRNA from 1 species